rnacentral:rRNA from 1 species
GCGAUACAGGGUGACAGCCCCGUACACAAAAAUGCACAUGCUGUGAGCUCGAUGAGUAGGGCGGGACACGUGGUAUCCUGUCUGAAUAUGGGGGGACCAUCCUCCAAGGCUAAAUACUCCUGACUGACCGAUAGUGAACCAGUACCGUGAGGGAAAGGCGAAAAGAACCCCGGCGAGGGGAGUGAAAAAGAACCUGAAACCGUGUACGUACAAGCAGUGGGAGCCCUGAUUUAUCAGGGUGACUGCGUACCUUUUGUAUAAUGGGUCAGCGACUUAUAUUCUGUAGCAAGGUUAACCGAAUAGGGGAGCCGGAGGGAAACCGAGUCUUAACUGGGCGUUAAGUUGCAGGGUAUAGACCCGAAACCCGGUGAUCUAGCCAUGGGCAGGUUGAAGGUUGGGUAACACUAACUGGAGGACCGAACCGACUAAUGUUGAAAAAUUAGCGGAUGACUUGUGGCUGGGGGUGAAAGGCCAAUCAAACCGGGAGAUAGCUGGUUCUCCCCGAAAGCUAUUUAGGUAGCGCCUCGUGAAUUCAUCUCCGGGGGUAGAGCACUGUUUCGGCAAGGGGGUCAUCCCGACUUACCAACCCGAUGCAAACUGCGAAUACCGGAGAAUGUUAUCACGGGAGACACACGGCGGGUGCUAACGUCCGUCGUGAAGAGGGAAACAACCCAGACCGCCAGCUAAGGUCCCAAAGUCAUGGUUAAGUGGGAAACGAUGUGGGAAGGCCCAGACAGCCAGGAUGUUGGCUUAGAAGCAGCCAUCAUUUAAAGAAAGCGUAAUAGCUCACUGGUCGAGUCGGCCUGCGCGGAAGAUGUAACGGGGCUAAACCAUGCACCGAAGCUGCGGCAGCGACGCUGAUGCGUUGUUGGGUAGGGGAGCGUUCUGUAAGCCUGUGAAGGUGUGCUGUGAGGCAUGCUGGAGGUAUCAGAAGUGCGAAUGCUGACAUAAGUAACGAUAAAGCGGGUGAAAAGCCCGCUCGCCGGAAGACCAAGGGUUCCUGUCCAACGUUAAUCGGGGCAGGGUGAGUCGACCCCUAAGGCGAGGCCGAAAGGCGUAGUCGAUGGGAAACAGGUUAAUAUUCCUGUACUUGGUGUUACUGCGAAGGGGGGACGGAGAAGGCUAUGUUGGCCGGGCGACGGUUGUCCCGGUUUAAGCGUGUAGGCUGGUUUUCCAGGCAAAUCCGGAGAAUCAAGGCUGAGGCGUGAUGACGAGGCACUACGGUGCUGAAGCAACAAAUGCCCUGCUUCCAGGAAAAGCCUCUAAGCAUCAGGUAACAUCAAAUCGUACCCCAAACCGACACAGGUGGUCAGGUAGAGAAUACCAAGGCGCUUGAGAGAACUCGGGUGAAGGAACUAGGCAAAAUGGUGCCGUAACUUCGGGAGAAGGCACGCUGAUGGUAGGUGAAGCGACUUGCUCGUGGAGCUGAAAUCAGUCGAAGAUACCAGCUGGCUGCAACUGUUUAUUAAAAACACAGCACUGUGCAAACACGAAAGUGGACGUAUACGGUGUGACGCCUGCCCGGUGCCGGAAGGUUAAUUGAUGGGGUCAGCGCAAGCGAAGCUCUUGAUCGAAGCCCCGGUAAACGGCGGCCGUAACUAUAACGGUCCUAAGGUAGCGAAAUUCCUUGUCGGGUAAGUUCCGACCUGCACGAAUGGCGUAAUGAUGGCCAGGCUGUCUCCACCCGAGACUCAGUGAAAUUGAACUCGCUGUGAAGAUGCAGUGUACCCGCGGCAAGACGGAAAGACCCCGUGAACCUUUACUAUAGCUUGACACUGAACACUGGUCCUUGAUGUGUAGGAUAGGUGGGAGGCUUUGAAGUGUGGACGCCAGUCUGCAUGGAGCCGUCCUUGAAAUACCACCCUUUAAUGGCUGGUGUUCUAACGUUGGCCCCUUAUCGGGGUUGCGGACAGUGUCUGGUGGGUAGUUUGACUGGGGCGGUCUCCUCCUAAAGAGUAACGGAGGAGCACGAAGGUUGGCUAAUCCUGGUCGGACAUCAGGAGGUUAGUGCAAUGGCAUAAGCCAGCUUGACUGCGAGCGUGACGGCGCGAGCAGGUGCGAAAGCAGGUCAUAGUGAUCCGGUGGUUCUGAAUGGAAGGGCCAUCGCUCAACGGAUAAAAGGUACUCCGGGGAUAACAGGCUGAUACCGCCCAAGAGUUCAUAUCGACGGCGGUGUUUGGCACCUCGAUGUCGGCUCAUCACAUCCUGGGGCUGAAGUAGGUCCCAAGGGUAUGGCUGUUCGCCAUUUAAAGUGGUACGCGAGCUGGGUUUAGAACGUCGUGAGACAGUUCGGUCCCUAUCUGCCGUGGGCGCUGGAGAACUGAGGGGGGCUGCUCCUAGUACGAGAGGACCGGAGUGGACGCAUCACUGGUGUUCGGGUUGUCAUGCCAAUGGCACUGCCCGGUAGCUAAAUGCGGAAGAGAUAAGUGCUGAAAGCAUCUAAGCACGAAACUUGCCCCGAGAUGAGUUCUCCCUGAGACUUUAAGUCUCCUGAAGGAACGUUGAAGACGACGACGUUGAUAGGCCGGGUGUGUAAGCGCAGCGAUGCGUUGAGCUAACCGGUACUAAUGAACCGUGAGGCUUAACCUUACAACGCCGAAGGUGUUU